rnacentral:rRNA from 1 species
AUUGAACGCUGGCGGCAGGCCUAACACAUGCAAGUCGAGCGGAUGACGGGAGCUUGCUCCUUGAUUCAGCGGCGGACGGGUGAGUAAUGCCUAGGAAUCUGCCUGGUAGUGGGGGACAACGUUUCGAAAGGAACGCUAAUACCGCAUACGUCCUACGGGAGAAAGCAGGGGACCUUCGGGCCUUGCGCUAUCAGAUGAGCCUAGGUCGGAUUAGCUAGGAGGUGAGGUAAUGGCUCACCUAGGCGACGAUCCGUAACUGGUCUGAGAGGAUGAUCAGUCACACUGGAACUGAGACACGGUCCAGACUCCUACGGGAGGCAGCAGUGGGGAAUAUUGGACAAUGGGCGAAAGCCUGAUCCAGUCAUGCCGCGUGUGUGAAGAAGGUCUUCGGAUUGUAAAGCACUUUAAGUUGGGGUUAAUGGCAGUAAUUUAUGUCCUUGCUGUUUUUACGUUACCGACAGAAUAAGCACCGGCUAACUCUGUGCCAGCCGCCGCCGUAAGAC